rnacentral:rRNA from 1 species
GUGUAAGCAAAGGUAGGCCUCUGUAUAUGCUACUGCUUGAUGAGGGGGUCGUGCGUACCAUUAGCUAGUAGGUGGGGGUAAUGGCCCACCCUAGGCUACGAUGGUUAGCGGGUCUGAGAGGAUGAUCCGCCACACUGGCACUGGAACACGGGCCGAGACUCCUACGGGAGGGCAGCAGUGAGGAAUAUUGCGCAAUGGGGGCAACCCUGACGCAGCGACGCCGCGUGUGUGAAGAAGGCCUUCGGGUUGUAAAGCACUUUCAGCGAGGAGGAAAGGGUGGCGGCUAAUACCUGUCAUCUGUGACGUUACUCGCAGAAGAAGCACCGGCUAACUCCGUG